rnacentral:tRNA from 1 species
GCUGGCUCAGUUGGUAGAGCAUGUGACUCUUGGUCUCAGGGUGGUGGGUUCAAGCCCCACACUCAGCA